UACGUAGGGUGCGAGCGUUAAUCGGAAUUACUGGGCGUAAAGCGUGCGCAGGCGGUUCUGUAAGUCCGAUGUGAAAUCCCCGGGCUUAACCUGGGAACUGCAUUGGUGACUGCAGGGCUAGAGUGUGUCAGAGGGAGGUGGAAUUCCGCGUGUAGCAGUGAAAUGCGUAGAGAUGCGGAGGAACACCGAUGGCGAAGGCAGCCUCCUGGGAUAACACUGACGCUCAGGCACGAAAGCGUGGGGAGCAAACAGG
rnacentral:rRNA from 1 species